rnacentral:lncRNA from 1 species
AUGCCUGUGCCCAAGUGGGGAAUCUGGAACCAGUAAGCCCGUUCGUGCAUAAAUGUAAUCCUCGGCCGCAGAAUAAACCAGCUCGGAGCCUGCAGCUGGGUUCAUCAAGGUUUGCGCAGUGGAUCCGCGAAUGAAGCCAGCCUGGAAGAUCCCCAGUCUCGAGACAGAGCCUGACAGGGGCAGAUGCACUGGAAGGACCCUGUCUGGGUUUAGCAACCAAGCAGCCAUCCUGGCCCCACAGGUGUGGGACUUCUGGGUCUUCUCCUGGCUGGCUUCUUGCUAGAGGAUUUCAAGAGACCCAGCAAGACUGUAUUGUCCCACUGAAUGCUCAAGAUAUUGGUUAGAAGUAGAAAAGGGGAGGGGGUAGUAUUUAGCCUCUGUCCCCACUAAAAAUUAUUCCCAAUUGUCAUUUGUGUCAUCUGUUUAGCUUACAGUUUUAAUCCUUGUCAAAAUGAUCAUUUGCCAGGGUGCAUAAAACACCCUAUUUGAUGAGAACUGGUUUUAAAGGAAAAUGGGGCCAUCAGAAGGAAGCCGGUUGGUGUGAAGAGACGUCUGGGAAGAGCCCCUGGCGAGGGCCCUCAUUCCACUGGGUGACCCAGAAGGAGAAAACCGCGAUGGCGCUUCUCAUUUGAAAUGUUUUCUUUAUGGACAGUGUUUAGCAAUUGUUAUAAUGUGUACUUUUGUUGAUUGAUCUGUAUACAUAUGUAAAAUAAUUUGUUCUCUGAGUUAAUUUUGUUGGAACAAAGACUUUAGUGCUUCCUACAUUAAAACAUUUUACUGUAUUGCCUGCA